rnacentral:rRNA from 1 species
AGUAGGGAAUUUUCGGCAAUGGGCGAAAGCCUGACCGAGCAAUGCCGCGUGAAUGAUGAAGGUCUUCGGAUCGUAAAGUUCUGUUGUUAGGGAAGAACGACUAGAGUAGGAAAUGGCUCUAGAGUGACGGUACCUAACCAGAAAGCUCCGGCUAACUACGUGCCAGCAGCCGCGGUAAUACGUAGGGAGCGAGCGUUAUCCGGAAUUAUUGGGCGUAAAGCGUGCGUAGGCGGUAUGUUAAGUCAAAUGUGAAAGCCCAGGGCUUAACCCUGGAGAGUCAUUUGAAACUGGCAUGCUUGAGUACGGCAGAGGUAAGUGGAAUUCAAUGUGUAGCGGUGGAAUGCGUAGAUAUAUUGAGGAACACCAGUGGCGAAGGCGGCUUACUGGACCGGAACUGACGCUGAGGCACGAAAGCGUGGGGAGCAAACAGGAUUAGAUACCCUGGUAGUCCACGCUGUAAACGAUGAGAACUAAGUGUUGGGGUUACCCAGUGCUGGAAGUUAACGCAUAA